CAGUGGUGCAAUCUCGGCUCACUGCAACCUCUGAACCCCUGGUUCAAGUGAUACUCCUGCCUCAGCCUCCCAAGCAGCUGGGAUUACAGGCAUGUGCCACCACACCCAGCUAAUUUUUGUAUUUUUAGUAGAGACGGGGUUUCACCAUGUUGGCCAGGAUGCGCUCUAUCUCCUGACCUCAAGUGAUCCGCCCGCCUUGGCCUCCCAAAGUGCUAGGAUUACAGGCGUGAGACACGGCGCCCAGUUGACUGUUUUGUUUUCACUCACUCCUCCAUAUGGGUAGUUGAGGAUCACUAUGACUGUUUUUAUGUAGGCAGAAUUUUUAAGAAAACAACAUAAAUUUAGAUAUUUGUUCCGUAAAGUUACUAAAAAGUAAAUAUAUUAAAGGUGAUUGUCACAUAAGCCUUCCAAUCACAGUGCCUGUGAUUUCAUUAGACAAAACUGAACAUAUAAAAAUGUAGUUGGCUACCUGGGAGCCUGAAGCACUUUAUUUACAGAUACUUUCUUAGGGCUAACUCAAAACACAUCUAAUCAGAACCAUGCCAUAAGCUUGCCAGAGAAUGACAAUGCAUUUAAACAUCGUAAAUAGCCAAAUUUCACCUUCCCCAUUGAAGACAGCAUUUCAGAUACAAGUACAUGGCCUGGUAAUGUUUUUCCAGAAGAGAUCCUACUUGUAUCAAAGUCAGCCUGUAGCAGUGCAAACUACUGACUUAAAGUUUAGCAGCUAAAAAUAGAGUCUGAAAAGAUUCAGAAAAUUGAGUUAUUUUACCCAUGAAACAAACAUCUGCUCUUUUAGAGCAAGCAGCUCUUUAUACCUUAUGAGAAAGCUCAAGAACAAAAAAGUUAGCUUUUCAUUUUAAGGUACCAUGGUUGAUUUUAGACAGUUCUCAUAUCUUCAAAUUAUUAUCCUGGGGAAAAUUAUGCAGGACAAAAGUGUUUUUUAGAAAUAUUUAGCAAAAAUAUAUGAAUUACUGCCUUUUCAUAAUGCAGCCAGGACUUGCAUCGGAAUAUUUGAUUAUCCUAUGACCAACUCACUUAUACCUUCCACAGAAUACUAUAGCACAACGUGUAGUAUAUACAAGCUCCAGAAUGCUUGGAGAUGUACCUCACUUUAGCACUAAGUAGCUGUGUAACUUUGAGCAAGUUGUUUAACCUGUGUCUCCAUUCCUCUCGAGGAUCAUAAUAGUCUUUCUCAUGGGGUAAAAUAAUACAUGUGGAACACUCAACAAGAUGCAUGGCACACAGUAAGUACUGUAAUAAAAGUAAUUUAGAGAAACAGAAGAUACUUUGCUUAACCCAAGAUACCUUGAGGUAAAUUUAAAAGUCACAUUUUAAAUACAUUCCUAUUGUUUUUCAUACAACUAUCACUUCUGUGGUAAUCAAAUGGUGUUUAAAUAAUCUAUGUUUAUGCCUACUUACAUAGGUUAACAUAAACAGUAAAAAUAUUUUCAUUCACUACCCAAGCACAGUCUAUUGAAGGCACUUCCAACCAGCCCCUUAUCAGUAGGAAGAAUCCAACCUAGGACUAGUUUAUCAAUAGAUGUACUUUUCCAUAGAUUGUAAGCAGUUCUAAGUAGGAAAGGUUUGGCUCUCAGGAGCUUUCAGCGGGACAUUUAUAUUUGUAAAUAAAAAGGAAAUAUUCUUUGGGCAGUGUUUCAGAAUCACCUGGGAUGAUCUGCAUGAAGAUUCCUGGCCUCCACCAAAGACUUACUGAAUCAGAAAGGAGGCAAGAGGAUGAGGAAUGCUUAAGAAUCUGCAUUAACAAACUUUACAAAUGAAUCUUACAACAUACAGAAGCAUGGAAACUACUGCCUCAAGGGAUUAUCUCAACUUGAGUUUAAACAUAGGAAUUGCUGACUACCUUUAAAAUGUAAAAAUAGUAUCUUUAUGGGAGGGAUGUUGUUUGGGGGCAGCUACUAAAUAGUGAAAUCAUUCCUUUAAAAUACCCUCUCAAGUCUGCCCCAGUUAUCCAUUUUACUGGAUAGUCUUGGUAUCCAGAUGAUUUAGGGAAAAAAAUAGUAGUAGCAAACUCUGAAAACACUCAGUAAAGUUCAUUCUUGGUCUUCUCUUCCUAAAUUUGUUUUCAAUUGUUAGAUUUAAACACUAAACAAGACCAAAAGAGAACUUUAUUUUACAUGUCUUUAUUUUACAUUUAGAACCGUUUUAUGAUUUACUUAAAAAAAAAAUCUUUUACUAUUAUUAGAAGUAUUUUUUAACCAAAAUCUUGAUUUAGGAAGACUUAAGACAUUGUGCAUUAUUUUAAAUAUUUUCAUUUCAGUAACUAUUAAAAAUAAAUUCACAAUUAGGGUUUCAAAUGUCCUAAUCAUAUCUAGUUUGUUCUCAUUUAAUAUUUUAUCAAUCCCAUCAUGUGCAUACAGAGGUUAAGGUGAUGUAUAAAUUUUAUAUCUUUCAAACACAUUGAUGCUAAUCAGCUCUUGAUCUAAUUACUAUUUCAUUUAUUCAGAAAUAGCAUUUAGACAUAAAAACCAAUGUCUCACUUUGUAAAAUAACCUUUGGCUAAUUUACACACAUCUAAUACAGCGUGUUAUAUAAGUUUUAAGUAAUACAAUGAGUCACUACUAUCAUUCAGUUUUAAAUAUUUUUAGUGUUAACAGGGCUGAGAAUAUCAUGUGGUUCAGUCUUCUGAAGGAAGUUAUAUAAUAAAAGCAUAGUGCCUUUGAACAUGAAGACUAUCCUCAAGGCCAGAAAUCCUACAAAGGAACUGAAAGGAGAGAUUCCAGAGAAUUGCUCUCCUCAUUUUUAAUAUGUAAAGUGACUGUUUUAAGUCACUUCAUUGAAGACUUAAGGAAGAAAACAGUGUUAUUAUGCCACUGAAUAAAGCUACUUAAACCAGAGUAAUUUUGGGAUAUUAAUCCUAGGCUACAUAAUUAAUAGGUCAUCAAAACAAAAACCUGUCAGUUAUUAGGUGUAAGUUAACUUCCUAUGCCAAGUAAGGGGUCACACUUCACUUCCCCCAUUUGUAAAAUGAAAAGGUGGCCAGGCCAGUGCCAUUUAGGAUUCUCUGCUAACUGUAAAAUGUGGACUGAUUUUCUUCUGUUUCUUAUAGUCCAGGUGUAUAUAAACUUCCAGUUCUUUAAGUCAAAAUUUUUAUGCACAUAACCAUGUCAGUGUAUUGCCCUUAGUUUAAAAAUGUACAACUACAUAAAUAAAAACUAUUGUUUCUUCAA
rnacentral:lncRNA from 1 species